rnacentral:rRNA from 1 species
GUGUCAGCCGCCGCGGUAAUACGUAGGGGGCAAGCGUUGUCCGGAAUCAUUGGGCGUAAAGCGCGUGUAGGCGGCCAGAUAAGUCCGCUGUGAAAACUCGAGGCUCAACUUCGAGCUGUCGGUGGAAACUAUUUGGCUAGAGUCCGGAAGAGGAGAGUGGAAUUCCUGGUGUAGCGGUGAAAUGCGCAGAUAUCAGGAAGAACACCCGUGGCGAAGGCGGCUCUCUGGUACGGAACUGACGCUGAGACGCGAAAGCGUGGGGAGCGAACAGGAUUAGAUACCCCCGUAGUCC